AUGUCAAAUCAAGAACAAUGGCUUAGGUAGACUGUGGGGAGCGGGGGAAGGAACACACCAGGUUUUUGGGGAGCUGGGGAAGGAACACACCAGGUUUUUGGGGAGCUGGGGAAGGAACACACCAGGUUUUUGGGGAGCUGGGGAAGGAACACACCAGGUUUUUGGGGAGCUGGGGAAGGAACACACCAGGUUUUUGGGGAGCUGGGGAAGGAACACACCAGGUUUUUGGGGAGCGGGGGAAGGAACACACCAGGUUUUUGGGGAGCGGGGGAAGGAACACACCAGGUUUUUGGGGAGCUGGGGAAGGAACACACCAGGUUUUUGGGGAGCUGGGGAAGGAACACACCAGGUUUUUGGGGAGCGGGGGAAGGAACACACCAGGUUUUAGGUGCAUAAUUUCUCUCCACCUAUUCUGCCACGUUUUAAGUCACU